GAUGAACGCUGGCGGCGUGCUUAACACAUGCAAGUCGAACGAGAAGUGAAGACGGAAACCUUCGGGCGGAAGGCUUUAUUUCGAGUGGCGGACGGGUGAGUAACGCGUGGGUAUCCUGCCUCAUACAGGGGGAUAACAGUUGGAAACGCCUGUUAAUACCGCAUAAGACCACAGCACCGCAUGGUGCGGGGGUAAAAACUCCGGUGGUAUGAGAUGGACCCGCGUUCGAUUAGCCAGUUGGCGGGGUAACGGCCCACCAAAGCGACGAUCGAUAGCCGAUCUGAGAGGAUGACCGGCCACAUUGGGACUGAGACACGGCCCAAACUCCUACGGGAGGCAGCAGUGGGGAAUAUUGCACAAUGGGGGAAACCCUGAUGCAGCGACGCCGCGUGAGUGAAGAAGUAUUUCGGUAUGUAAAGCUCUAUCAGCAGGGAAGAAAAUGACGGUACCUGAGUAAGAAGCCCCGGCUAACUACGUG
rnacentral:rRNA from 1 species